rnacentral:rRNA from 1 species
UACAGAGGGUGCGAGCGUUAAUCGGAAUUACUGGGCGUAAAGCGUGCGUAGACGGUAGCGUACGUCAGAUGUGAAAGCCCCGGGCUCAACCUGGGAAUUGCAUUUGAGACUGCUCUGCUCGGGUGCGGAAGAGGGAAGCGGAAUUUCCGGUGUAGCGGUGAAAUGCGUAGAUAUCGGAAGGAACACCAGUGGCGAAAGCGGCUUCCUGGUCCGACACCGACGUUCAGGCACGAAAGCGUGGGGAGCAAACAGG